rnacentral:rRNA from 1 species
AACGUAGGAGACGAACGUUAUCCGGAGUUACUGGGCGUAAAGGGCGUGCAGGCGGCUUGAUAAGUUCGGCGUGAAAUUUCCCGGCUUAACCGGGGGAUGUCGUCGGAGACUGUCGAGCUAGAGGGUGAUAGAGGCGUGUGGAAUUCCGCGUGUAGCAGUGAAAUGCGUAGAUAUGCGGAGGAACACCGAUGGCGAAGGCAAUCCCCUGGGCCUGCACUGACGCUCAUGCACGAAAGCGUGGGGAGCAAACAGG